rnacentral:snRNA from 1 species
GUGCUCCCUUCAGCAGCACAUGUACAACUGGAACCCUACAGAGAAGAUCAGCACGGCCCCUGUGCAAGGAUGACAUGCAAAUUCGUGAAGAGUUCCAUAUUUUU